rnacentral:tRNA from 1 species
CGGGAAGUAGCAUAAAUAAGUGUGUUCUGUUUACACCAGAAAUGUGGUUUUAGUAUUACCCUUUCCUU